GAUAUAGCUGGUUCUCCCCGAAAUAGGUUUAGGCCUAGCCUCGAGGUAGAGAUAUGUGAAGGUAGAGCACUGAAUGUCCGAUGGCCCCGUCUAGGGGUACUGAAUGCAAUCAAACUCCGAAUGUCAUGUAUUAUACUCGGGAGUCAGCGUGCGGGUGAUAACGUCCGUACGCGAAAGGAAAAGAGUCCAAGAUCGCCAAUUAAGGUCCCAAAAUCUGUACUAAGUGGGAAAGGAUGUGGAGUUGUCAAAACAGCUAGGAGGUUGGCUCAGAAGCAGCCAUCCUUUAAAGAGUGCGUAAUAGCUCACUAGUCGAGUGACACUGCGCCGAAGAUGUACCGGGGCUAAGUACAGUACCGAAGUUGCGGAUUCAUGCAUAAGCAUGAGUGGUAGGGGAGCGUUCUAACAGCGGAGAAGGUUUACCGGAAGGAGAGCUGGAGCGGUUAGAAGUGAGAAUGCCGGUGUGAGUAGCGCAAGCUGGGUGAGAAUCCCGGCCACCGUUUGCCUAAGGGUUCCUGGGGAAGGUUCGUCCUCCCAGGGUUAGUCGGGUCCUAAGACGAGGCUGAAAAGCGUAGCCGAUGGACAACAGGUUUAUAUUCCUGUACUAUCUGUAUAACUGAAGGAAUGACGAAGAAGGCUAUGGAGAUCCAGUUAAUGGAUUCUGGUCUAAGCACAAAGGUUUAUAAAAAAGGAAAUCUGUUUAUAGAGCAACUGAAGUGUGAUGGGGAAGGAGUUAGAGAUAACACCGAACUUUCCAGACGCCAAGCUUCCAAGAAAAGUUUCUAGGGCUAAUUAUACAGGUACCCGUACCGAGAACCGACACAGGUGGGCAAGGAGAGUAUCCUAAGGUGAGCGAGAGAACUAUGGUUAAGGAACUCGGCAAAAUGACCCCGUAACUUCGGGAUAAGGGGUGGUCAAGCGAUUGACCCGCAGUAAAGAGGCCCAGGCAACUGUUUACCAAAAACACAGGUUUCUGCAAAAGCGCAAGCUGAAGUAUAGGAGCUGACGCCUGCCCAGUGCUGGAAGGUUAAUAGGAGAGCUUAGAUGUGACGAAAGUCGAUAGCAUCGAAGGUUCGAAUUGAAGCCCCAGUGAACGGCGGCCGUAACUAUAACGGUCCUAAGGUAGCGAAAUUCCUUGUCAGGUAAGUUCUGACCCGCACGAAAGGCGUAAUGAUCUGGGUACUGUCUCAACCAUAGACUCGGUGAAAUCUUAUUACCUGUGAAAAUGCAGGUUACCCGCGACUGGACGAGAAGACCCCAUGGAGCUUUACUAUAGCUUGAUAUUGAGGUUUGGUAAGUUAUGUAGAGAAUAGGUGGGAGACUGAGAGAUAUCGGCGCCAGCUGAUAAGGAGUCAGCAAUGGAAUACCACCCUUGCAACUUAUUGAACUUCUAACCUAGGUCCAUAAUCUGGAUCAGGGACAGUGUCUGGUGGGUAGUUUGACUGGGGCGGUCGCCUCCCAAAAAGUAACGGAGGCGCCCAAUGGUUCCCUCAGAAUGGUUGGAAAUCAUUCGAAGAGCGUAAAGGUAUAAGGGAGCUUAACUGCGAGACCAACAAGUCGAGCAGAUACGAAAGUAGGGCUUAGUGAUCAGACGAUGCAGAAUGGAAUGGUCGUCGCUUAACGGAUAAAAGUUACCCUGGGGAUAACAGGCUGAUGCCACCCAAUAGUUCACAUAGACGGUGGCGUUUGGCACCUCGAUGUCGGCUCGUCACAUCCUGGAGGUGAAGUCGCUUCCAAGGGUUGGGCUGUUCGCCCAUUAAAGUGGCACGCGAGCUGGGUUCAGAACGUCGUGAGACAGUUCGGUCUCUAUCCGUCGUGGGCGUAGGAAAAUUGAAGAGAUCUGUCCUUAGUACGAGAGGACCGGGACGGACCUACCUCUGGUGUAUCUGUUGUCACGCCAGUGGCAGCGCAGAGUAGCUAUGUAGGGAAUGGAUAACCGCUGAAAGCAU
rnacentral:rRNA from 1 species